rnacentral:rRNA from 1 species
GAUGAACGCUGGCGGCGUGCCUAAUACAUGCAAGUCGAGCGAACGGACGAGAAGCUUGCUUCUCUGAUGUUAGCGGCGGACGGGUGAGUAACACGUGGAUAACCUACCUAUAAGACUGGGAUAACUUCGGGAAGCCGGAGCUAAUACCGGAUAAUAUUUUGAACCGCAUGGUUCAAAAGUGAAAGACGGUCUUGCUGUCACUUAUAGAUGGAUCCGGGCUUCAUUAGCUAGUUGGUAAGGUAACGGCUUACCAAGGCAACGAUGCAUAGCCGACCUGAGAGGGUGAUCGGCCACCCUGGAACUGGGACACGGUCCAGACUCCUACGGGAGGCAGCAGUAGGGAAUCUUACGCAAUGGGCGAAAGCCUGACGGAGCAACGCCGCGUGAGUGAUGAAGGUCUUCGGAUCGUAAAACUCUGUUAUUAGGGAAGAACAUAUGUGUAAGUAACUGUGCACAUCUUGACGGUACCUAAUCAGAAAGCCACGGCUAACUACGUG